UCCCUGGUGGUCCAGUGGGUAAGAUCUUAAACUCCCAAUACAGGGGACCCAGGUUCGAUCCCUGGCCAGGGAA
rnacentral:tRNA from 1 species